GCCAACAAGACCCCCAAGCUUAACCUUUGCUCGUCCCGAGCAAAUAAUUAAGUAUGGUUGUUGAUCAGGAGUUGCUACUAUGCCGAUAUAAUUCAGGAGUGUCAUGCCUAUAACAAAGCAUUCGUUCGCAAUUUAAAUAAGUUGGCAUACUAUCCACUCUUUACCUUAAUUUCCCAUGGGACUUUUAGCUUCUCCAAAUUCUUGGGUGGUUGCAAGAUAGAACAAUUGUAAGAGACUCACCAAUCAUUCAUCUUUUGAUAGACUAUCAAUCCAGAGGUUUUUUAUAAGUUUUGUAAAAUAAAUGAGUUCCUCGAAUGAUUCUCUCAAUCGCUCAAUGUGUAUCAAAUCCUUACCAAAGGCAUUAUGUGAUUGCCUUUAAACCUUACCAUUAAGGCUGAGAGUGGAGUUUUGGGCAGGUAUAAAGGUGGGCGUACUUAUGGCACUUGUAUUGCUGAGUCAAAGCCCGGACCAUGAGGAGAUUCAAAUCAUACACCUUGAUUGAGAUGUGCAAGUGUGUGGAGUAUGAGGAAUUGGUGGAAAUGCUAAUUCUAAUUUUUUUUGGUCACUCCUUUGCAUCAUGACUCUCUUUUAUUUGGAGGAUAAGAGAGAGAGGAAGAGGAAAACAUAUGGGCUCUAUCUCUUAAUAAUUUUUUUUUCAUGAUGGGGACUUUUGAUUUUUUUCUUGCUUUCCCGUCUAUGCCUUUUUGGCUUUUCCCUUUAGAUAUUUUUUUCAACUAUAGCCCAUAUGUCUUGAAGAAUGGAAUCAGAGAAAUUUAAAGAGAUGUCAUGAGGACAAAAAGUAAGGAGUGAAUUUGGGGAUGCGCAAAUCUCAGGAUGAGGGUUUGGCAUUUUUAUUUGGUGGAAAGCUAAGGCACAACUCUCAGGAUAAGAGUUGGCAAAAAAUUUUGGUGGAUGGAAGGGUGCAUGUUGUGCGCGACUUCUCAGUGUAAGAGUCGACUUUAUUUGGUGGGUGUAAGUGAAUCUCAAUCAUGGGUGCAUGACCAUAAUCUCACUCUAGGAUCUCAGAGAUUUGACCCGACUCAACGUUCCACAAGCCGCAUAUGACUAAAGGUUUUAAGAACUGAGUAACAAGUCAUCUGGCCUUGGUAGGUAUUUCAUAAUCAUUGAGGAACCCUUUGUUUUAAAUUUUUGAAAAGAAAACUCUGGAUGUCAAGUUUCUCUUAAGACAAAGUCAUAGCAAAAUCUAUUUGUGCCAUAUCAUGUCUCGCAACAACUUAGAAAAGGAUCAUGCAUUCGCAACCCACAUGAUUUCAAGUUUUCACAAUAGGACAUUUUUAGCCAAUAAACUUAAAUCUUGAUGAAGACUAAGUUAUAACUUAGACACUAAAGAAUUAUAGACAGAGCAACUAUUCAUCAUUUCAGCAGAAGAGCAACUAGCAUAUUAAAAGACAUAUGAGAGAGGAAUUAUAUAUAUAUAUAUAAAGAAAAGAGUGCUGAAAAUUAAAUACUAAAAUUGAAGUGCAAGAAAAUAAGAUACAUGUUACCUCU
rnacentral:lncRNA from 1 species